CCCUUGAUGUUCUGGGCCGCACGCGUGCUACACUGAGUGGAUCAGCGGGUCAGGUUGCGCGAAAGCGUUUCCUAAUCUUUAAAUCCGCUCGUGAUGGGGAUUGACGGUUGCAAUUUUCUGUCAUGAACGAGGAAUACCUUGUAAGCGCGGGUCAUCAUCCCGCGCUGAAUACGUCCCUGCCCUUUGUACACACCGCCCGUCGCUCCUACCGAUUGAGUGGUCCGGUGAGGCUUUGGGAUCUGAGCGGAAAGAGCGUUUCGCUGUUUCUGCUCGGAAAACUCAGUCGAACCUUAUCAUUUAGAGGAAGGAGAAGUCGUAACA
rnacentral:rRNA from 1 species